rnacentral:rRNA from 1 species
CCAAUAGCGUAUAUUAAAGUUGUUGCAGUUAAAAAGCUCGUAGUUGAAUUUCGGGGUCAGUAGGUUGGUCAUGCCACUGGUAUGUACUGGUCUCACUGAUUCCUCCUUCCUGAUGAGCCGUAAUGCCAUUAAUUUGGUGUUGCGAGGAAUCUGGACUGUUACUUUGAAAAAAUUAGAGUGUUUAAAGCAGGCUAACGCUUGAAUACAUUAGCAUGGAAUAAUGAAAUAGGACGUUCGAUCUUAUUUUGUUGGUUUCUAAGAUUGACGUAAUGAUUAAUA